UACGGGGGGGGGCAAGCGUUGUUCGGAAUUACUGGGCGUAAAGGGCGCGUAGGCGGCCUUCUAAGUCGAACGUGAAAGCCCCCGGGCUCAACCUGGGAAUUGCAUUCGAGACUGAAUAGCUAGGGUACGGUAGAGGGAAGUGGAAUUUCCGGUGUAGCGGUGAAAUGCGUAGAUAUCGGAAGGAACAUCAGUGGCGAAAGCGACUUCCUGGACCAGUACCGACGUUCAGGCACGAAAGCGUGGGGAGCAAACAGG
rnacentral:rRNA from 1 species